rnacentral:rRNA from 2 species
ACGGGUGAGUAAUGCCUAGGAAUCUGCCUGGUAGUGGGGGACAACGUUUCGAAAGGAACGCUAAUACCGCAUACGUCCUACGGGAGAAAGCAGGGGACCUUCGGGCCUUGCGCUAUCAGAUGAGCCUAGGUCGGAUUAGCUAGUUGGUGAGGUAAUGGCUCACCAAGGCGACGAUCCGUAACUGGUCUGAGAGGAUGAUCAGUCACACUGGAACUGAGACACGGUCCAGACUCCUACGGGAGGCAGCAGUGGGGAAUAUUGGACAAUGGGCGAAAGCCUGAUCCAGCCAUGCCGCGUGUGUGAAGAAGGUCUUCGGAUUGUAAAGCACUUUAAGUUGGGAGGAAGGGUUGUAGAUUAAUACUCUGCAAUUUUGACGUUACCGACAGAAUAAGCACCGGCUAACUCUGUGCCAGCAGCCGCGGUAAUACAGAGGGUGCAAGCGUUAAUCGGAAUUACUGGGCGUAAAGCGCGCGUAGGUGGUUCGUUAAGUUGGAUGUGAAAUCCCCGGGCUCAACCUGGGAACUGCAUCCAAAACUGGCGAGCUAGAGUAUGGUAGAGGGUGGGUGGAAUUUCCUGUGUAGCGGUG